rnacentral:rRNA from 1 species
UACGUAGGGGGCAAGCGUUGUCCGGAAUCAUUGGGCGUAAAGAGCUCGUAGGCGGCUUGUCACGUCGGGUGUGAAAGCCCGGGGCUUAACCCCGGGUCUGCAUUCGAUACGGGCAGGCUAGAGUGUGGUAGGGGAGAUCGGAAUUCCUGGUGUAGCGGUGAAAUGCGCAGAUAUCAGGAGGAACACCGGUGGCGAAGGCGGAUCUCUGGGCCAUUACUGACGCUGAGGAGCGAAAGCGUGGGGAGCGAACAGG